rnacentral:misc_RNA from 1 species
GCAAACUUGGUCAUUUAGAGGAAGUAAAAGUCGUAACAAGGUUUCCGUAGGUGAACCUGCGGAAGGAUCAUUAUUGACACCCGGGGGACUGCUUUGGUUAGCCCUGCGCCGGCAGACAUGCCGUGCUGCGGGCCCCAGGCAGUCUCUGUCCACACCCUCCUUCACCCCUGUGCACCUUUGGGAGGGCGGGCCGUACGUCCGCCGUCCCGUUUCACAAACACUGUAUUCAGAAUGUCCUUGCGGACUCAGUGCCGCAGCCAAUGUAAUGAAACAACUUUCAACAACGGAUCUCUUGGCUCUCGCAUCGAUGAAGAACGCAGC